UACGUAGGGUGCAAGCGUUGUCCGGAAUUAUUGGGCGUAAAGAGCUCGUAGGCGGCUUUGUCGCGUCUGCUGUGAAAACCAGAGGCUCAACCUCUGGCCUGCAGUGGGUACGGGCAGGCUAGAGUUCGGCAGGGGAGACUGGAAUUCCUGGUGUAGCAGUGAAAUGCGCAGAUAUCAGGAGGAACACCGGUGGCGAAGGCGGUUCUCUGGGCAUGUCCUGACGCUGAGGAGCGAAAGUGUGGGAGCGAACAGG
rnacentral:rRNA from 1 species